ACUUGAAUAGCUUAUAUUAUUUAGAGCAUAACAUUGAAGAUGUUAAUGAGAUUAUGAAAUCUUUAAGUA
rnacentral:tRNA from 1 species